rnacentral:rRNA from 1 species
AUUGAACGCCGGCGGCAUGCCUUACACAUGCAAGUCGAACGGUAACGCGGGGCAACCUGGCGACGAGUGGCGAACGGGUGAGUAAUGUAUCGGAACGUGCCCAGUUGUGGGGGAUAACUGCUCGAAAGAGCAGCUAAUACCGCAUACGACCUGAGGGUGAAAGCGGGGGAUCGCAAGACCUCGCGCAAUUGGAGCGGCCGAUAUCAGAUUAGGUAGUUGGUGGGGUAAAGGCUCACCAAGCCGACGAUCCGUAGCUGGUCUGAGAGGACGACCAGCCACACUGGGACUGAGAAACGGCCCAGACUCCUACGGGAGGCAGAAGUGGGGAAUUUUGGACAAUGGACGCAAGUCUGAUCCAGCCAUGCCGCGUGCGGGAAGAAGGCCUUCGGGUUGUAAACCGCUUUUGUCAGGGAAGAAAAGGCUCCUUCUAAUAUAGGGGGCUCAUGACGGUACCUGAAGAAUAAGCACCGGCUAACUACGUGCCAGCAGCCGCCGUAA